CCGAGUGAGGGCGCCCGCGCCCGACCUCCAACCCUUUGUCGUACGACCGAGUUGCCUCGGGGGUGACCCGGCUCGGGGCCCCCGGUGGACCGUCUCAAAACUCUCGCGUCUUUGCGUCUGAGUCGAAGAGUAAAUUGAAUUA
rnacentral:misc_RNA from 1 species